CGCGUGUACUGGUCCGGCCGGGCCUUUCCUUCUGGAGAUCCCCAUGCCCUUCACUGGGUGUGUGGGGGAACCAGGACUUUUACUUUGAAAAAAUUAUAGUGUUCAAAGCAGGCCUUUGCUCUAAUACAUUAGCAUGGAAUAAUAUAAAAGGACAUGCGGUCCUAUUUUGUUGGUUUCUAGGACCCCUGUAAUGAUUAAUAGGGAUAGUCGGGGGCAUCACUAUUCAAUUGUCAGAGGUGAAAUUCUUGGAUUUAUUGAAAACAAACUACUGCGAAAGCAUUUGCCAAAGAUGUUUUCUUUAAUCAGUGAACAAAAGUUAGGGGAUUGAAGACGAUCAGAUACCGUCGUAGUCUUAACCGUAAACUAUGCCGACUAGGGAUCGGGCGAUGUUUCUUUUUUGACUCGCUCGGCACCUUACGAGAAAUCAAAGUUUUUGGGUUCUGGGGGGAGUAUGGUCGCAAGGCUGAAACUUAAAGAAAUUGACGGAAGGGCACCCCCAGGCGUGGAGCCUGCGGUUUAAUUUGACUCAACACGGGGAAACUCCCCAGGUCCAGAUGAAAUAAGGAUUGACAGAUUGAGAGCUCUUUCUUGAUUUUUCAGGUGGUGGUGCAUGGCCGUUCUUAGUUGGUGGAGUGAUUUGUCUGCUUAAUUGCGAUAACGAACGAGACCUUAACCUGCUAAAUAGCCAGGCUAGCUUUGGCUGGUCGCCGGCUUCUUAGAGGGACUAUCGG
rnacentral:rRNA from 1 species